rnacentral:miRNA from 1 species
ACUGUACUAUGGGCACUUCAGC